AGACGAACCGUCCAAACGUUAUUCGGAAUCACUGGGCUUAAAGGGUGCGUAGGCGGCUCGGCAAGUUGGGUGUGAAAUCCCUCGGCUCAACCGAGGAACUGCGCCCAAUACUGCCGGACUCGAGGGAGAUAGAGGUGAGCGGAACUUAGGGUGGAGCGGUGAAAUGCGUUGAUAUCCUAAGGAACGCCGGUGGCGAAAGCGGCACACUGGGUCUCAACUGACGCUGAGGCACGAAAGCCAGGGUAGCGAACGGGAUUAGAAACCCCAGUAGUCC
rnacentral:rRNA from 1 species